rnacentral:tRNA from 1 species
GGGCGAUUAGCUCAGUUGGUAGAGCACACGGAUCACACCCGUGGAGUCACAGGUUCGAGUCCUGUAUCGCCCA